UGAGUACGAGAUGCUACGGCAUCGAAGCAGUCUAUGUCAUACUUCCAAGAAAAGCUUGCACUGUCAUAAACAAAGAAUGCCUGUACCAUAACCGACACAGGUGGGUAGGUAGAGUAUACUAAGGGGCGCGAGAUAACUCUCUCUAAGGAACUCGGCAAAAUGACUCCGUAACUUCGGGAGAAGGAGUGCCUUAUUUCUAAGGUUGCAAUAACAAGAUCCAAGCAACUGUUUACCAAAAACACAGGUCUCCGCUAAGUCGUAAGACGAUGUAUGGGGGCUGACGCCUGCCCAGUGCCAGAAGGUUAAAGAAGUUGGUUAGCAUUAGCGAAGCUGAUAACUGAAGCCCUGGUGAACGGCGGCCGUAACUAUAACGGUCCUAAGGUAGCGAAAUUCCUUGUCGGGUAAGUUCCGACCCGCACGAAAGGCGUAAUGAUUUGGAUACUGUCUCGGAGAGGGGCUCGGUGAAAUAGACUUGUCUGUGAAGAUGCGGACUACCUGCACCUGGACAGAAAGACCCUAUGAAGCUUUACUGUAACUUGAGAUUGAAAUUGGACUUUAUUUGCGCAGUAUAGGUGGGAGGCGUUGAGAAUAAUCUUGCGGGAUUGUUGGAGCCAUCAGUGAGAUACCACUCUUGUAAUGUUAGAUUUCUAACUUUGUAUCAUUAUCUGGUCAAAGAACAGUUUCAGGCGGGCAGUUUGACUGGGGCGGUCGCCUCCCAAAGGGUAACGGAGGCGCACAAAGGUUUCCUCUGAACGGGUAGAAAUCGUAUCUAGAGUGUAAAGGCAUAAGGAAGCUUGACUGUGAGACCUACAAGUCGAGCAGGGACGAAAGUCGGUCUUAGUGAUCUGACGGUGCUGAGUGGAAAGGCCGUCACUCAACGGAUAAAAGUUACUCUAGGAUAACAGGCUGAUCUCCCCCAAGAGUUCACAUCGACGGGGAGGUUUGGCACCUCGAUGUCGGCUCAUCGCAUCCUGGGGCGGUAGUCCGUCCCAAGGGCUGGGCUGUUCGCCCAUGAAAGCGGUACGCGAGCUGGGUUCAGAACGUCGUGAGACAGUUCGGUCCAUAUCCGGUGUAGGCGUUAGAAUAUUGAGAGGAGCCUUCUCUAGUACGAGAGGACCGAGAAGGACAUACCUCUGGUGUACCAGUUAUCGUGCCAACGGUAAACGCUGGGUAGCUAUGUAUGGAGUGGAUAACCGCUGAAAGCAUCUAAGUGGGAAGCCCACCUCAAGAUAAGUAUUCUCAU
rnacentral:rRNA from 1 species